ACCAGAGAACUAAGCGAAUCCACUGCCAAGAGAAACGAGCUAUUAAUUGAAAACAAUGAAUACAGAGAGAAUGAGUGCUACUAUAAACAGAAAAUCUCCAAACUCGAUCAAAUCAUUCUAGAUCUUACUCCCGAUCAGCAAAUCACCGAACAAACGACUAUGGCCACUCAACUUGAUCCGAAUGAAACAAGUUUGGAAUAUUC